CCGUCGGGCGCCGGCCUAAGGUCCCGGGUGGAGCCGAGCUUCGCCGCGCCCGACCCAGGGGAUCCCGGCCGGGUGCCCGACGGUACGAAGAGAGGAAGGAGUCGGCGCGCCUCUUGUAGGCGUCNNNCCCUCCGCAAGCACUCGCGGGAGAGGGAGGUCCGGGCCCGGCCCGGCCUCUUUCUUCAUCGGGGCUGUUUGCGACAAGGAGGUGUGCUCGGAC
rnacentral:rRNA from 1 species